GGGUGAUUGGCUCAGCGGUAGAGCACUGCCUUCACACGGCAGGGGUCAGUGGUUCGAUCCCACUAUCACCCACCA
rnacentral:tRNA from 2 species